rnacentral:tRNA from 2 species
GGGAGUAGCUCAGUGGUAGAGCGUCAGCCUUCCAAGCUGAGGGUCGCGGGUUCGAAUCCCGUUUCCC